GAUGAACGCUGGCGGCGUGCCUAAUACAUGCAAGUCGAGCGAACGGACGAGAAUCUUGCUUCUCUGAUGUUAGCGGCGGACGGGCGAGUAACACGUGGAUAACCUACCUAUAAGACUGGGAUAACUUCGGGAAACCGGAGCUAAUACCGGAUAAUAUUUUGAACCGCAUGGUUCAAAAGUGAAAGACGGUCUUGCUGUCACUUAUAGCUGGAUCCGCGCUGCAUUAGCUAGUUGGUAAGGUAACGGCUUACCAAGGCAACGAUGCAUAGCCGACCUGAGAGGGUGAUCAGCCACACUGGAACUGAGACACGGUCCAGACUCCUACGGGAGGCAGCAGUAGGGAAUCUUCCGCAAUGGGCGAAAGCCUGACGGAGCAACGCCGCGUGAGUGAUGAAGGUCUUCGGAUCGUAAAACUCUGUUAUUAGGGAAGAACAUAUGUGUAAGUAACUGUGCACAUCUUGACGGUACCUAAUCAGAAAGCCACGGCUAACUACGUG
rnacentral:rRNA from 1 species